rnacentral:lncRNA from 1 species
GAAUCUUCGAUAACUUGGGAAAAUUUAAAAUACAGACUGGACUAUCUGUUAAUAUAGGAAAGAUGAUCAUCGUUACCAAUUGUGAGGAAGAUCUGAGGCCACAAUUUGGAAAAUUUGUCUCAGAGGAAACCCUACUUGGGUUCGAGGUAUGCACGUCGGCCUUGGGAGCCCUAAAACGAAACGAAGAAAAAAUUAUUUCGAUUAUUGAAAGGAGCGUUAACUAUUUUAAAGGUGUACCCAUAACCAGAUUUGAAAAGCUCAGGAUCUGGGAUAAAAUCAAAAUAUCUAAAGUCAUCCACAUCUUGAGAUAUACUCCUUUCUCCAAUUAGAUAUGUGAUCAUAUUUACAAAUUGAGGGAAAAAUUAAUUUGGAGGGGAUCAAGAGCCUACAUUUCUAGAGGGCGUAUAAAUACGCGAAUCGAAGAAUGGGGCCUGGGAUCACAAAACAUAGAGUUUCUGUGGAAAGUGCUGAACUUCUCUUGGUUUACAAGAUUGAGGAAAAGCAGAGAUUUCUGGGCGCUAAGGAUUAAGGGGUGAUGAAAAAAUGUGAUAAAUACUGGAGACCAAUGGGUAGUUCGUGGGAGUCAAUUAUGAAUAACAUUCUACAUACAAUGAGUUCUAACGAACCUCUUAACUUUAAUCCACGGUUGAGAAGUCGGGACGCAUUUUGAAGGGAAGGAGAACUAACUUCUGUUGGUCAAUAGUUAGCUCCUGGAGAUACGGAGCUAGGCAAUUUCUUUUUAUUGAGUAGAAUCAAUAGAUUAGUCUCAAGCUACCGUUCUAAAACCAGUAACUUCAGGCCUUCAACACCCUUCUUCAUAGCAGUGGAAGCACUCUCUAAUAGUAAAAUAAUGUCUGCAAUAAAUGGUGAUAACAACGGAGUGUCGUCUCCUAUCGUCAAGAGAAGACUGGAGAGACUGGAACUAAAAUAAAUGGCUAACAUAUUAAACCCAAAAACAAUAUUAAAAAACUACUUAACAGAUUCCCAUCAAUAAUGGUUAAGAUACCGAUUGGCCACCUCUUCUUUAUUUACGAAUAAAUCAAAACAAAUGGUUGGCUCUAGAAUGUGCUCUUUUUGUAAAGAAAACAUCGAGAUCUCAUUCCAUUUGUUUUAUUUUUGCUCUAAAGUGGUUUCAGUUGUUAUAAUGGUGCACCGUGAAAAGUAUGGCCAAGAACCCAGCGCUUUAGAUUGGCUCGUAGCAACGUGCUCGAAGUACAAAUAGAGUCUGAAGAUAGAAUAUAUUAUCUUUUAAGUCCAGGGGAUAAUAUAUGGGGUUAAAAAUACAAUAUUUCCUAUUCCAUCAAGCUGGAAGAGUACGUACUCCACUCAACGGAGAUCCUAGAAGCCAUCUUUGCACAGUCGGAGAUUACAGGAAAAUGAUGAACUGUGUAUAAAGCUAACCGACAGACCUGUGAAUCCUCUAUGCCAGAGGGACUCGGGAUGUCUAGUUCCUCUGUUAUUAAUUAUCAUAAGUGAACAAGAUUCCCGCGCUGUGACGUCGGAAUAGAGAAGGGAAAACUGAAGGAUAGAAA